GUAGAGACGGGGUUUCGCCAUGUUGGCCAUGCUGGUCUCAAACUCCUGACCUCAGGUAAUCCACCCGCCUCAGCCUCCCAAAGUGCUGGGAUUACAGGCGUGAGCGACUGCGCCCGGCCCCCUGUAACAGUUUCUUUUGUCCUCUCAUGGGUAUUUCUCUGAGUCUAGGAAUAGCAUAGGGACAUUGCUAUAUGGUAUUAAAUGCUCUAGUGGGAGUCCCUUCUUUUUCAUCUUUCCUUCCACUUGUUGCCACGGGGCACACACAUCCCCUGCUCCCCGCUCACCGCGUUGGAACCCAGGACAGGAGUCCAGCUGCUCUCUGAACAGAAGGGCCUCUCACCGUACUGCUUCAUCAGCGCGGAGGUGGUGCACUGGCUGGUGAACCACGUGGAGGGGAUCCAGACACAGGCGAUGGCCAUCGACAUCAUGCAGAAAAUGCUGGAAGAGCAGCUCAUCACACACGCAUCUGGCGAAGCCUGGCGGACCUUCAUCUACGGCUUCUAUUUCUACAAGAUAGUAACGGACAAAGAGCCCGACCGAGUGGCCAUGCAGCAGCCCGCCACCACCUGGCACACAGCAGGAGUGGACGACUUCGCCAGCUUCCAGCGCAAGUGGUUUGAGGUGGCCUUUGUGGCAGAAGAGCUCGUACACUCUGAGAUUCCUGCCUUUCUCCUGCCCUGGCUGCCCAGCCGGCCAGCCUCCUAUGCAAGUAG
rnacentral:sRNA from 1 species